GUGGUCGUUAAAAAAUAUCUUGGUUUUAUAUUGAAAACAUACUAAUUAGUAUAAUUCAUUCUUAGUCACUUCAUUCAUUCAUACUAAUUCAAAUUCAAAUUAGAAAAAUAAAAAUUUGUAGUAUUUAAUUCAUUAAUUUCCUAUAUCUAUAUUUUUCUGUUACAGCAUAUUUAAUAUCUAGUUGAGUCUAGGGAAAAAAUUAGUUCCUGGUAUAGAAAGAAAGAUAGAGAGGAAAAAGGAGGAAUAAUUAGAAAGAGAAAGUGGUGAUGGUAAAUUUUAGUAAACGUACCCAAACAAUAAACGUGUCAAAAACAAGAGGCAGUAUUUUGUUAUUAUUUGUGCCUUCAAGGCAAUAACAACUGUAGGUAUAACCUAGAAUAUAUUCAUUCGUGUAUUUUAAAAAAAUAACUAGAUUUGAGUCACAUUAUUUAAGAUACAAUGGUCAAUUAUUGCCAGAGGUGGAAACUUGGACUCGAGACUUGCAACUCGACUUGGAGUUGAGACCAAUUUUGAAGACGAUCUCACAACCAAAGACUCGAGACUUGACUUGGACUCCAUACCUAAGUAUUGCGAAUCUUCUUGGACUCCAAAGCUAGUAUAUUAUGGACUCAGAAAAAGUCGUAACACUAGUGACUAUGGACCUUAUAUUAUAGUAAUAUACUUGAAAUGAGCUUGAAUGACAUCUGUGUACUCGAUGAAAAUAUUCAAGGACUUGGACAUAACUUGAGAAUAGACUUGUACGUAAAGUAUAAGGACUUUUUCCGUAAUCAGAUUAAUGUUGUGUCGUAAGCUACAAGAGUUGAACCGACACUCCGAAAUCUUUGCAGGUUAUGGAUUAAAAAUAUCUGUGGAAAGGAUUCUACACCUACUAGAAUUCAAGUGUGGACUCAUUACAUUUUUGAAUAAGGAAUUUGAAGAUGACUUAUGGUAUAACAAAUCCUGCCGUUCUACAUGUCAUGUCCUAUUAAAAAGAAGCAAAAUAAAAAAAGUUAUAGUUCCAUCAAUCUUUCUACCCAAAACACAAUCCUAAUCUUACGAAAAGUGAAAUACGAAUUGGGCAACUUCUGAAGCAUAACGCAAUAAAGAAUUGAAAUUAUUAAAUGAACAAAUAGACGCGUUUCAUUCCUCCUCCAAUCAAAUGAAAAGUUUUUCAAACAUCCGAUUAAGGUUGUUUUUAGAGCGGGAGAUUAGUUUUUAUCUUUAUCAAAAUCAUAAGAACCUUCCAAUGUCAAAGUUUGUGUAUGUAUAUUGUGAGUUCAAAUAAAGUUAAGAUUGUUGAUGCAA
rnacentral:lncRNA from 1 species